GGAGAAUUAGCUUAAAUGGUUGAGUGCUCACUUAGCAUGCAAGAGGUAGCAGGAUGGAUGCCUGCAUUUUCCA
rnacentral:tRNA from 1 species